UACGGAGGUGGCAAGCGUUGCUCGGAAUCACUGGGCGUAAAGGGUGCGUAGGUGGCGCUGUAAGUCGGGUGUGAAAUUUCGGAGCUUAACUCCGAAACUGCAUUCGAUACUGCGGUGCUUGAGGACUGGAGAGGAGACUGGAAUUCAUGGUGUAGCAGUGAAAUGCGUAGAGAUCAUGAGGAAGACCAGUGGCGAAGGCGGGUCUCUGGACAGUUCCUGACACUGAGGCACGAAGGCCAGGGGAGCAAACGGG
rnacentral:rRNA from 1 species